rnacentral:rRNA from 1 species
GACGAACGCUGGCGGCGUGCUUAACACAUGCAAGUCGAACGGAAAGGCCCUGCUUUUGUGGGGUGCUCGAGUGGCGAACGGGUGAGUAACACGUGAGUAACCUGCCCUUGACUUUGGGAUAACUUCAGGAAACUGGGGCUAAUACCGGAUAGGAGCUCCUGCUGCAUGGUGGGGGUUGGAAAGUUUCGGCGGUUGGGGAUGGACUCGCGGCUUAUCAGCUUGUUGGUGGGGUAGUGGCUUACCAAGGCUUUGACGGGUAGCCGGCCUGAGAGGGUGACCGGCCACAUUGCGACUGAGAUACGGCCCAGACUCCUACGGGAGGCAGCAGUGGAGAAUAUUGCACAAUGGGCGGAAGCCUGAUGCAGCAACGCCGCGUGCGGGAUGACGGCCUUCGGGUUGUAAACCGCUUUCGCCUGUGACGAAGCGUGAGUGACGGUAAUGGGUAAAGAAGCACCGGCUAACUACGUG